AUGGAUCCAUGAUGUUAUUUUACAUACUGCGUUAUCUAUCUGAACUUUCCCUUUCAAAAGGGAUUUGAAGAUAACUUUUUUACUUGCUGAGAUCCCAU
rfam:Gossypium arboreum cultivar AKA8401 contig_33047_1, whole genome shotgun sequence.